CAAAACGACUCUCGGCAACGGAUAUCUCGGCUCUCGCAUCGAUGAAGAACGUAGCGAAAUGCGAUACUUGGUGUGAAUUGCAGAAUCCCGUGAACCAUCGAGUCUUUGAACGCAAGUUGCGCCCGAAGCCGUCAGGCCAAGGGCACGUCUGCCUGGGCGUCACGC
rnacentral:rRNA from 1 species